rnacentral:rRNA from 1 species
UACUGAAAUCAUAGAAUUUCUUUAAAUUCAUGAUGUCGUAAGGGAAAAUAAUGAUAUUACCUUACUAUGAGUGUCGUCCAAAACUGGUGCCAGAAGACUCGGUAAUACCAGAGACGCAAACGUUAAUCAUCAUAAACAGGCGUAAAGGGUUUGUAGGCAGCUUUCAUAAGAUUAUUUCUUACACAAAUAAAUAAGUGGUCUGAUUGAAAGCUAGAAUCAAAAAGAGGUUAUAGUGUAUAACGCCUAGAGGAGGGCUGAUAUCCUUAGAUCCUAGGCAGAAUACUUAGGGCGAAGGCCACUCUCCACUAAUGAUUGACGCUGAGAAACGAAGGUAAGGGUAGGAAAUAGGAUUAGAUACCCCGGUACUCCUUUCUGUAAACGAUGAAUGGUAGUCAUUAGUAAAAUUAAAAUUAGAGACGAAGUUAACACAAUAACCAUUCCGCCUUGUGAGUACUACUGCAAAGUAGAAAACAAAAAAAUUAGUCGGUCUCGAAGCAAACGGAGUGAAGCAUGUUAUUUAAU